rnacentral:SRP_RNA from 1 species
GCUGGGCACGGUGGCUCAUGCCUGUAAUCCCAGCACUUUGGGAGGCUGAGGCGGGUGGAUCACCUGAGGUCAGGAGUUCAAGACCAGCCUGGCCAACAUGGUGAAACCCCGUCUCUA